rnacentral:rRNA from 1 species
UGGGAUACCUAAAGUUCCCAUAUGCAAAUUGCUCAGUAACACAUGAUCAACUUACCCUAUAGAGAAAAACAACCUCGGGAAACUGAGGAUAAUGUUUCAUAAUUGAAUUGGCUUGGAAAAGUUUUUCGAUGAAAGGGAUAAAAAAAAUGGUUUUUAUCUGCUAUAGGAUAGGAUCGUGUUCGAUUAUGGUUGUUGGUGAGAUAAUGGCUCACCAAGCCGAUAAUCGAUAGGGGCCGUGAGAGCGGGAGCCCCGAGAUGGGUACUGAGACAACGACCCAGGCCUUACGAGGCGCAGCAGGCGCGGAACCUCCGCAAUACACGAAAGUGUGACGGGGUUACCCAAAGUGUUCAAUAGAACUGUGGUAGGUGAGUAAUGUCCCCUACUANAAAGGAGAGGGCAAGGCUGGUGCCACCCGCCGCGGUAAAACCAGCUCUUCAAGUGGUCGGGAUAAUUAUUGGGCUUAAAGUGUCCGUUGCCCGGUUUAAAUAAGUUCCUGGUAAAAUCGGGUAGCUUAACUACCUGCAUGCUAGGGAAUACUGCUAUACUAAAGGGCGGGAAAAGGUCUGAAGGUACUACAGGGGUAGGGGUGAAAUCUUAUAAUCCUUGUAGGACCACCAGUGGCGAAGGCGUCAGACUGGAACGCGCCUGACGGUGA